CUCCGGUUGAUCCUGCCGGACCCGACUGCUAUCAGAGUGGGACUAAGCCAUGCGAGUCAACAUAGCAAUAUGUGGCAUACGGCUCAGUAACACGUAGUCAACAUGCCCAGGGGACGUGGAUAACCUCGGGAAACUGAGGAUAAACCGCGAUAGGUCAUCACUUCUGGAAUGGGUAAUGACUUAAAUCUAUAUGGCCCCUGGAUUGGACUGCGGCCGAUCAGGCUGUUGGUGAGGUAAUGGCCCACCAAACCUGUAACCGGUACGGGCUCUGAGAGGAGGAGCCCGGAGAUGGGCACUGAGACAAGGGCCCAGGCCCUAUGGGGCGCAGCAGGCGCGAAACCUCUGCAAUAGGCGAAAGCUUGACAGGGUUACUCUGAGUGAUUUCCGUUAAGGAGAUCUUUUGGCACCUCUAAAAAUGGUGCAGAAUAAGGGGUGGGCAAGUCUGGUGUCAGCCGCCGCGGUAAUACCAGCACCCCGAGUGGUCGGGACGUUUAUUGGGCCUAAAGCAUCCGUAGCCGGUUCUACAAGUCUUCCGUUAAAUCCACCUGCUUAACAGAUGGGCUGCGGAAGAUACUAUAGAGCUAGGAGGCGGGAGAGGCAGGCGGUACUCGAUGGGUAGGGGUAAAAUCCGUUGAUCCAUUGAAGACCACCAGUGGCGAAGGCGGCUUGCCAGAACGCGCUCGACGGUGAGGGAUGAAAGCUGGGGGAGCAAACCGGAUUAGAUACCCGGGUAGUCCCAGCUGUAAACGAUGCAGACUCGGUGAUGAGUUGGCUUAUUGCUAACUCAGUGCCGCAGGGAAGCCGUUAAGUUUGCCGCCUGGGGAGUACGGUCGCAAGACUGAAACUUAAAGAAAUUGGGCGGGGAGCA
rnacentral:rRNA from 1 species